rnacentral:rRNA from 1 species
GUACGCUAUUCAGAGUUUUGAUCCUGGCUCAGAUUGAACGCUGGCGGCAGGCCUAACACAUGCAAGUCGAGCGGAUGACGGGAGCUUGCUCCUUGAUUCAGUGGCGGACGGGUGAGUAAUGCCUAGGAAUCUGCCUGGUAGUGGGGGACAACGUUUCGAAAGGAACGCUAAUACCGCAUACGUCCUGCGGGAGAAGCAGGGACCUUCGGCCUUGCGCUAUCAGAUGAGCCUAGGUCGGAUUAGCUAGUUGGUGGGGUAAUGGCUCACCAAGGCGACGAUCCGUAACUGGUCUGAGAGGAUGACCAGUCACACUGGAACUGAGACACGGUCCAG